AUUGAACGCUGGCGGCAUGCCUUACACAUGCAAGUCGAACGGCAGCACGGGAGCAAUCCUGGUGGCGAGUGGCGAACGGGUGAGUAAUACAUCGGAACGUGCCCAGCAGUGGGGGAUAACUGCUCGAAAGAGCAGCUAAUACCGCAUACGACCUGAGGGUGAAAGCGGGGGAUCGCAAGACCUCGCGCUAUUGGAGCGGCCGAUGUCCGAUUAGCUAGUUGGUGGGGUAAAGGCCUACCAAGGCAACGAUCUGUAGUUGGUCUGAGAGGACGACCAGCCACACUGGGACUGAGACACGGCCCAGACUCCUACGGGAGGCAGCAGUGGGGAAUUUUGGACAAUGGGGGCAACCCUGAUCCUGCAAUGCCGCGUGCAGGAAGAAGGCCUUCGGGUUGUAAACUGCUUUUGUCAGGGAAGAAAUCCUCUGGGUUAAUACCUCGGGGGGAUGACGGUACCUGAAGAAUAAGCACCGGCCAACUACGUGCCAGCCGCCGCAGUAACAC
rnacentral:rRNA from 1 species